UGGCCGUUUUGUAGGCGUCCACAGCUUC
rnacentral:sRNA from 1 species